rnacentral:lncRNA from 1 species
AGCAAAUCUCCCUGAGAGCGGGACCGGCCUCAGCUCCAACACAGCCUCCACUGUGAUUAAAAAUAAAAAUUGCUAGAGCAGCCCUCACUCGCCACAUCUACUUUGAUAGCUGGCUAUUUGGAAUUUAAAGGAUAUUUGACUUUUUCUAACCUCCCAUGAGGCUGUAAGUUCCACUGCUCCAAACCCACCCACCAAGGACUCUGAACCUGUCCACCCCGGGCGCAUCAAGAUCUUCCAGCUGGGUACCCCCGAUUUGGGCCGACUUUGCACCUCCAAACAACCUUAGCAUGAUGUCUUAUCUUAAGCAACCGCCUUACGCAGUCAAUGGGCUGAGUCUGACCACUUCGGGUAUGGACUUGCUGCACCCCUCCGUGGGCUACCCGGGUAUGGUUUAAGAAUCGAAGAGCUAAGUGCCGCCAACAACAGCAACAACAGCAGAAUGGAGGUCAAAACAAAGUGAGACCUGCCAAAAAGAAGACAUCUCCAGCUCGGGAAGUGAGUUCAGAGAGUGGAACAAGUGGCCAAUUCACUCCCCCCUCUAGCACCUCAGUCCCGACCAUUGCCAGCAGCAGUGCUCCUGUGUCUAUCUGGAGCCCAGCUUCCAUCUCCCCACUGUCAGAUCCCUUGUCCACCUCCUCUUCCUGCAUGCAGAGGUCCUAUCCCAUGACCUAUACUCAGGCUUCAGGUUAUAGUCAAGGAUAUGCUGGCUCAACUU